rnacentral:tRNA from 1 species
GAGGCGCGGGCCGUGCUGGCCCGGGCCGACGACGCCGUCGCCGUCGUCCGGCGCGCCGUGCGCGGCGAGAGCGGCGAGUUGCGCCUGGCGUUCCUCGCCA